rnacentral:rRNA from 1 species
GCUUUACUGUUCCCUGGGAUUGGGUUUGGGCCUUUCUUGCGCAGCUUAGGUGGGAGGCAGAGAAGAUUUCCUUCCGGGGAAAUUCGAGCCACCAAUGAGACACCACCCUAGAAAGGCUAGAAUUCUAACUUUGUACCUAGAAGAAGGUCAGAGGACAUUCCCAGGUAGACAGUUUCUAUGGGGCGUAGGCCUCCUAAAAAGUAACGGAGGCGUGCAAAGGUUUCCUCAGGCUGGACGGAAAUCAGCCUUUGAGUGCAAAGGCAGAAGGAAGCUUGACUGCAAGACUUACACGUCGAGCAGGGACGAAAGUCGGCCUUAGUGAUCCGACGGUGCCGAGUGGAAGGGCCGUCGCUCAACGGAUAAAAGUUA